rnacentral:lncRNA from 1 species
UGACUAAGCAAACAACCUAUGCAUCCCACAGUGCUGUUCAAAGGUGAGGGAGAUAUAGAAGGAAAAGUGGAGAGAAGAGGCAAUGAAAACAAUGAUCAGUACCAGUGGCUGUACAGGAGACUGGAACUUACUUCACUAAUUCUUCAGUGUGAAGGCUUUAGAACAGAUUACAACUGGUCCGCAUCCUUGAAGUUUCUCUCAUGAAUUUGACUUAAUGGAGCUCGUUAGGGGGAUAUCUGAGCAAAGAUGCACCCAGGGAUCAAGAGCCUGCAAAAUCUGCAUCCUCCCUGCCUGUCAUUCAAACCACUGCUGUAGUGGCCACAAUCGGUAGUAAUACAACAUCCAAGAUAGCUCUUGACGCCCUGCCUUUGAUCCAUGAGGAAGCAUGCUAUAAAAAUUGGGCUUCC